rnacentral:lncRNA from 1 species
AUGAACUUCAUCAGACUCCGCGGGUCUCAUUACCAUCCAUCAGCAGCCAGCCCGCCCCUGGGGGGCCGGGGGGGGGCUCCACCUAAGCCAUGGCGCUCAGCCCAGCUUUGCCUCCUGCCUCGCUCCCCAGGGACCCGAGAAGCAGCCGCCAGCCAGCGGUGGGGGCGGGAAGCCAGCAUCUCCCACCAGGGCCGGCCGCCGGGCAGCUGUGGGUCUCUGGCCAGGGGCCUGGAUGGUGGGGGCCUCCCAGAGAAACACAGCCAACCUGCUCUCUCUCUCUGCCCCCACUCCCCGCCCGGACAAGCAGCUACUGGCUGGCACCCACCCCCAACCCCUGUCGAGCUCACCCUGCCCUGCUGGGCCCAGCACGGGACAAGGGGCCUCCUCGGGCAGAAAGGGCUCGUCUUCCACCUGGUGGAGCUCCUGGGGCAGGUGCCAGGGGUGGGGGGCAGGGAGACCUUUAGGAGGGGAAGCAGUUCUGGAGGCAUCGGGCUGUGCCAAGGUCAGGCGAGGGAUGGGGGUGGGCGGGGGACAGGAACCCCACAGCCUAGCCUGGCUGAGCGGCCAGGCGCAGAGCAGGCCUGCUCCAAAGGUCAUCUCCCAUCUUCCCCUGGUCCCUUCCCAAAGAACCCCCAGGACACGGAAAAGGCCCACAAGGCUUGGGCCCGCCUGUCCUGUGACUCCCGUCCUGCAUCUGAGGGACCAGUUUCAAGUCACUCCCCUCCUCCAGCCAGGCUUGGGGCCCCUUGGGAGCGGCUGGGCUUCACCAAGGCCCCAGAUGAAGGCUGCUGGGCGUUCAGCAUCCCACCUGCACGCCUGGCCGCAAGCUCUCGGCCCUUCUGUGAGCUGAGCUGCCACGCGCAUGAGAAGCGAGAGCGAGACCCAAGGGACAGGGGGACAGGUAAAGGAAAUCCUUUCCCACGACAACACUGGAGGCCACUGGUUCAGGGCCUGCUCAGUGGGCCCGGUAUGAGCAACGGGAGGAGAAUUGGCGCUAUUGCUGGUUCUGUUUAUAGGUGUGGAAAUCAAAGUUCAGAGAGGUUGAGAAUGGCGUGA